ensembl:lincRNA 5430416N02Rik RIKEN cDNA 5430416N02 gene
CCGUGGGCACGUUCUCGCUUCCAUUCGGUCCUCCUUUUGUUAACGCUCUGGCAUCAUGUCUACGCCAGCUCCCGCGCAAUCCGGCGCCAUCGCGCUUUGGGCGAGCAUGGCCAUGGGGAGUAGAGAGGUGGAAACCGAGCUGACGCCUGCCUGACCCUGGCGAUGGUGGCGCGCGCCGGGAAGGACUGAUUGGAGAAUGGCGCCAAAUGGGUCACGGAUGGCGAGGGGGCACAGGAGCUCUCGAUGUGACCUGGCGCUGUGGAUGUGAUGCACAGCAGCUUGAGUGGGACUGCUCCGCUGUCCUCAUGAGAGAACGCUUUUUCUGAAGAUGGGAGGUGGCUAAUGAAAGAAGGAAUUGUGUUCUCGGUGAUGCCUGGAAGAGAUGCGUGACGUUGGAAGAUGAUUACGAAAUACAGGAAAGGAAUGAAAUCAAAGGAUGUUUUUUGUAAGAGUAACACUUACAGAAAUAUUCAUUAAUUUGAAGAUUUAUAUAAGGCCUGGUGACCUCCGUUAAUUCCUGGGACCCACAGUGUGGAAGAAGAGACCUGACUCCUGAAAGUUGUCUUCUGACCACAUAUACACAAUAUGUAAAUAAAUGUAAUUAAAAAAUCAAAAUAGUAAAACUG